UACGUAGGGGGCAAGCGUUGUCCGGAUUUAUUGGGCGUAAAGAGCGUGUAGGCGGCCAUAUAUGUCCGUUGUGAAAACUGGAGGCUUAACCUCCAGACGUCGAUGGAAACCGUAUGGCUAGAGUCCGGAAGAGGAGAGUGGAAUUCCUGGUGUAGCGGUGAAAUGCGCAGAUAUCAGGAAGAACACCCGUGGCGAAGGCGGCUCUCUGGGACGGUACUGACGCUGAGACGCGAAAGCGUGGGGAGCGAACAGG
rnacentral:rRNA from 1 species